GAUUAAACUGAAGAGUUUGAUCCUGGCUCAGAUUGAACGCUGGCGGAAUGCUUUACACAUGCAAGUCGAACGGCAGCACGGGGGCUUGCUCCUGGUGGCGAGUGGCGAACGGGUGAGUAACGCGUCGGAACGUACCGAGUAAUGGGGGAUAACGCAGCGAAAGCUGUGCUAAUACCGCAUACGCCCUGAGGGGGAAAGUGGGGGAUCGCAAGACCUCACGUUAUUCGAGCGGCCGACGUCUGAUUAGCUUGUUGGUGAGGUAAUGGCUCACCAAGGCGACGAUCAGUAGCUGGUCUGAGAGGACGACCAGCCACACUGGAACUGAGACACGGUCCAGACUCCUACGGGAGGCAGCAGUGGGGAAUUUUGGAC
rnacentral:rRNA from 1 species